CCCAAACAGGGUAGGCUUCAUGCAGGCCUGUGAGAGUGCCUAUUCCAGCUGGAAGUUCUCUGGGGGCUUCCGCACCUGGGUCAAGAUGUCACUGGUAAAGACCAAGGAGGAGGAUGGGCGGGAAGCAGUGGAGUUCCGGCAGGAGUGGCUCGGGAUGCUCAUCUGGAGCAGAAGGACACACUCCAGUCAACUAGGCCAUCACUGGCCAGAAGUUAGGCCGGAGAAGACUGUCUUGGACAAGUGUGGUUAACUACAUUGACCAGAGGCCAGCUGCCAAAAAAAGUGCUCAAUUGUUUUUUGUGGUCUUUGAAUGGAA
rnacentral:lncRNA from 1 species